rnacentral:rRNA from 1 species
GGGCCCGCACAAGCGGAGGAACAUGUGGUUUAAUUCGAUGAUACGCGAGGAACCUUACCCGGGCUCGAACGGCUAUAGAAUAACGAUGAAAGUCGUUAGCCAGUAAUGGCUGUAGUCGAGGUGCUGCAUGGUUGUCGUCAGCUCGUGCCGUGAGGUGUCGGCUUAAGUGCCAUAACGAGCGCAACCCUUACCGACCGUUACCAUCAGAUACAGCUGGGGACUCAGUCGGGACUGCCGCCGCAAGGUGCGAGGAAGGCGGGGAUGACGUCAAAUCAGCACGGCCCUUACGUCCGGGGCUACACACGUGUUACAAUGGGGGGGCACAGCAGGAAGCUACACAGCGAUGUGAUGCGAAUCUCGAAACCCUCUCCCAGUUCGGAUCGAAGUCUGCAACCCGACUUCGUGAAGCUGGAUUCGCUUAGUAAUCGCGCAAUCAGCCAUGGCG